UACGGAGGGUGCAAGCGUUAUCCGGAUUUACUGGGUUUAAAGCGUGCGCAGGCGGUUUGUUAAGUCCGUUGUGAAAGCCCCGAGCUUAACUUGGGAAUUGCAGUGGAUACUGGCAGGCUGGAGUACGGUAGAGGAAGGUGGAAUUCCCGGUGUAGCAGUGAAAUGCGUAGAUAUCGGGAGGAACACCAGUGGCGAAGGCGGCCUUCUGGACCAGUACUGACGCUCAUGCACGAAAGCGUGGGGAGCAAACAGG
rnacentral:rRNA from 1 species